CUAAUACAUGCAAGUCGAGCGCAGGAAGCAGACUGUAUCUCCUUCGGGAGUGAUGUUUGUGGAAUGAGCGGCGGACGGGUGAGUAACACGUGGGCAACCUGCCUGUAAGACCGGGAUAACUCGCGGAAACGUGAGCUAAUACCGGAUAAAGCUCCAUGCCGCAUGGCAUGGGGAUGAAAGACGGCUUAGCUGUCGCUUGCAGAUGGGCCUGCGGCGCAUUAGCUAGUUGGUGGGGUGAUGGCCUACCAAGGCGACGAUGCGUAGCCGACCUGAGAGGGUGAUCGGCCACACUGGGACUGAGACACGGCCCAGACUCCUACGGGAGGCAGCAGUAGGGAAUCUUCCGCAAUGGACGCAAGUCUGACGGAGCAACGCCGCGUGAGUGAGGAAGGUCUUCGGAUCGUAAAACUCUGUUGUUAGGGAAGAACACGUACGAGAGUCACUGCUCGUACCUUGACGGUACCUAACCAGAAAGCCACGGCUAACUACGUGCCAGCAGCCGCGGUAAUACGUAGGUGGCAAGCGUUGUCCGGAAUUAUUGGGCGUAAAGCGCGCGCAGGCGGCUUCUUAAGUCUGAUGUGAAAUCUCGCGGCUCAACCGUGAGCGGUCAUUGGAAACUGGGGAGCUUGAGUACAGAAGAGGAGAGCGGAAUUCCACGUGUAGCGGUGAAAUGCGUAGAGAUGUGGAGGAACACCAGUGGCGAAGGCGG
rnacentral:rRNA from 1 species